rnacentral:rRNA from 1 species
UAGGGAAUCUUCGGCAAUGGACGGAAGUCUGACCGAGCAACGCCGCGUGAGUGAAGAAGGUUUUCGGAUCGUAAAGCUCUGUUGUAAGAGAAGAACGAGUGUGAGAGUGGAAAGUUCACACUGUGACGGUAUCUUACCAGAAAGGGACGGCUAACUACGUGCCAGCAGCCGCGGUAAUACGUAGGUCCCGGGCGUUGUCCGGAUUUAUUGGGCGUAAAGCGAGCGCAGGCGGUUAGAUAAGUCUGAAGUUAAAGGCUGUGGCUUAACCAUAGUACGCUUUGGAAACUGUUUAACUUGAGUGCAAGAGGGGAGAGUGGAAUUCCAUGUGUAGCGGUGAAAUGCGUAGAUAUAUGGAGGAACACCGGUGGCGAAAGCGGCUCUCUGGCUUGUAACUGACGCUGAGGCUCGAAAGCGUGGGGAGCAAACAGGAUUAGAUACCCUGGUAGUCCACGCCGUAAACGAUGAGUGCUAGGUGUUAGACCCUUUCCGGGGUUUAGUGCCGUAGCUAACGCAUUAAGCACUCCGCCUGGGGAGUACGACCGCAAGGUUG